UUUCCGUAGGUGAACCUGCGGAAGGAUCAUUAUUGAAUAAACCUGAUGUGGCUGUUAGCUGGCUUUUCGAAGCAUGUGCUCGUCCGUCAUCUUUAUCUCUCCACCUGUGCACAUUUUGUAGUCUUGGAUACCUCUAGAGGCAACUCGGAUUUUAGGGUCGCUGUGCUGUACAAGUCGGCUUUCCUUUCAUUUCCAAGACUAUGUUUUUAUAUACACCAAAGUAUGUUUAAAGAAUGUCAUCAAUAGGAACUUGUUUCCUAUAUAAUUAUACAACUUUCAGCAACGGAUCUCUUGGCUCUC
rnacentral:misc_RNA from 1 species